rnacentral:rRNA from 1 species
CACGUAGGGGACGAGCGUUGUCCGGAUUCAUUGGGCGUAAAGCGCGCGUAGGCGGCUCGGAAAGUCGGUCGUGAAAUGCCGGGGCUCAACCCCGGGACUGCGUCCGAUACUUCCGGGCUGGAGGUAGGUAGGGGAGAUCGGAAUUCCUGGUGUAGCGGUGAAAUGCGCAGAUAUCAAGUGGAACACCAGUGGCGAAGGCGAGUCCCUGGACAACUCUUGACACUGAGGCACGAAAGCUAGGGGAGCAAACAGG